rnacentral:piRNA from 1 species
UAGGUGUUAGGCAAAUUUCUUACAGUUAGC